UUUUGGAAACUAUUGUAGUAUACUCAUACCUCAAAACGUGAUGUUAUUUGAUCUGAAAGGCCAGACUUCAGUGCACUCCAUUUGUUUCACCACAUCGAGCAAUGCAGCACUCCAAUACAGAUCCAGGGUCUGUAGUCACGUGUGUUUGUCCAUCAGUGUUCAGCUGUCUGUCUGCUGUCUGGAGGAUGAUGACUUCUGUUUGUUCCUCUGAGGAAAUGGAUGGUCAGUCUCUGGAUGUUCCUCUCUCUGUAGAGGAGACCCGACCAGAACCGGCCCAGAGUUCAGUGCGACCAUGCAGUGAUGGAGAGAUGUAAAAGGCUCUUUCACUCCAGAAUUCACAUACUCACCUUGUUUAGCCUGGUUCACUCUUCCAUUCCCUAGGUCUUGUCUAGUGUUCAACUGCAAUUCUUAGCAUUAUUCCUGGUUUAUGCAUUUUGGUUUUUGAUUGUUUCCUGGAUUUACCUGUCUUCCCGUGUGUUUUUGAUUUGUUGUUUGUUUGGACUGCUUUCUUGUGGAUUUCUGACCUUUUGCCUGUUUUUUUUUUUUACCUUGAGUGUGGAGAAAAACCUGCAUUUGAAUCCUCUACCUUGGUGUCCCAGAGCAGUUUGUAACAAUAAUAUUUUGAGUUUGCAUUUGAGUAAUAGUGAGUCAGUUUUUGUUCAAGUGGGAUGAGUAAAAACCACAUUCACCUCUGUGAUAAUAGGAAAUCAAAGUAACUCACAUUGCUUAUUUGAAAAAGUAACUCAGAUAUUUUUCUAUAAAUUUAAAAGUAAAGCCUUACUUUACUAACUCGUGUUACUUGUAAUGCUUUAUCCCAACACUGAGUCCAUGUUCAUUCACACAGAGGAUGAGUUUGAGAGGCGAUGAUGAAGAGCAGCAGAUUUAAGAGUCAAGACACAGAAGCAUGAACUAGGAAUUCAUAUUGUAUUAAAUAGCUUCUGUGAUCAAUUAUUAGGAUUGAUUGCAAAAAGGAUGAUUAAAUGAUGAUUGUAAAAAGAUUUAAUUCUUUUUCACCAUUUCAUGUAGUUCAAUUUCACAUUUCAUGAGUUUAAUUAUGUCCUGGACUCCUUUGGUUUUAUUCAGCAUGUAGAUAAGGCUACACAAUACUCUUGACCUUAUCAUGUCGUAUGGGUUUUCCAUCAACAAUGUAAACAUUGAAGAUGCAAGUUUUUCAGAUCACAGGCCCAUUGUAGUCAAUGUUAUACUGUCUAGUUCUAUGUGUACUGCUAAAACUACAGGAUUUUAUUCUCGUUUAAUCGAUUCUCUCACUCUAAUUCAGUUUUCUGACAUUGUUCUGUACCCUGUUUCACGGUAUUUGUCUGGGUUUGUUCUGUGGCUGCCAUCUGGUGGUCGCUUUUGGAGGCUG